GAAAAGAACCCCGGCGAGGGGAGUGAAAAAGAACCUGAAACCGUGUACGUACAAGCAGUGGGAGCCCCACCACUAAGCCAGUGGUGAACUCCACAUACGCAUCCUUUGCUGAGGAUGCGGUUAACGGAGCGAAAGCGACGUUCAACCGCAAAAGAAGCAGAGGGGGCUUAGUGGUGGGGUGACUGCGUACCUUUUGUAUAAUGGGUCAGCGACUUAUAUUCUGUAGCAAGGUUAACCGAAUAGGGGAGCCGGAGGGAAACCGAGUCUUAAUUGGGCGUUAAGUUGCAGGGUAUAGACCCGAAACCCGGUGAUCUAGCCAUGGGCAGGUUGAAGGUUGGGUAACACUAACUGGAGGACCGAACCGACUAAUGUUGAAAAAUUAGCGGAUGACCUGUGGCUGGGGGUGAAAGGCCAAUCAAACCGGGAGAUAGCUGGUUCUCCCCGAAAGCUAUUUAGGUAGCGCCUCGUGAAUUCAUCUCCGGGGGUAGAGCACUGUUUCGGCUAGGGGGCCAUCCCGGCUUACCAACCCGAUGCAAACUGCGAAUACCGGAGAAUGUUAUCACGGGAGACACACGGCGGGUGCUAACGUCCGUCGUGAAGAGGGAAACAACCCAGACCGCCAGCUAAGGUCCCAAAGUCAUGGUUAAGUGGGAAACGAUGUGGGAAGGCCCAGACAGCCAGGAUGUUGGCUUAGAAGCAGCCAUCAUUUAAAGAAAGCGUAAUAGCUCACUGGUCGAGUCGGCCUGCGCGGAAGAUGUAACGGGGCUAAACCAU
rnacentral:rRNA from 1 species